AAGACUAUAGACCUGCGGAGUACCUGCGGAAGGAUCAUUAAAGAGAAAACUGCCCUUUGGGUAGAUCUCCCACCCUUUGUUUAUAUUACCUUUGUUGCUUUGGCAGGCCCGUCUCUGACCACCGGCUCUUUGGCUGGUCUGUGCCUGCCAAGAGACCUCCAACUCUUGAUUUGAAGUUGUCCAAGUCUUAUAUAAUAGUAAAAACUUUCAACAAUGGAUCUCUAGAUCGGAAGAGCACAC
rnacentral:misc_RNA from 1 species